rnacentral:rRNA from 1 species
UACGAAGGGGGCAAGCGUUGUCCGGAAUCAUUGGGCGUAAAGCGCGUGUAGGCGGUCCGGUAAGUCGGCUGUGAAAGUCCAGGGCUCAACCCUGGGAUGCCGGUCGAUACUGCCGGACUAGAGUUCGGAAGAGGCGAGUGGAAUUCCCGGUGUAGAGGUGAAAUUCGUAGAUAUCGGGAGGAAUACCAGUGGCGAAGGCGGCUUUCUGGGCCUAUCCUGACGCUGAGGAGCGAAAGCGUGGGGAGCAAACCGG